rnacentral:lncRNA from 1 species
GCGGGUUCACCGUGAUUUUCGUUCACCUAGUGUCAGUGUUGGCUUACUGAUUAGUAUUAUGUGGGUGCAGGUGUGGAGAAGAAGUUCAGCGUGUCGUUCCAGAAGGAGAGGGAGAACCGGGCGUACAUGAGCGGGCCGGCGCACGGCAUCCACCCGCUGGCCAAUGCUGCUGGCAAGGGCUUGAAGACGGAGAUCCGCGAGGUUGAUCUUCCGGCUGCCAAUACUGGAGCCAGGAUUUUCACCUGAUCUGCCCGUGGCGUGCGUACGUGUCUGCGAGAUGGGUGUAUGAUAGCUGGAGAUAGGGUAGUUAAUAAAGUGUCAACUACCCUUUGUUUCGCCUCUUGGAAAUGGAGUGCUCGAAGAAUGAGUUACGAAUGACAGUAUAGGCAGCGCCGGAGGGAGGAACCGUGUAUCUAGACUUAGAAGGGGCCAAAUGAAACCAUCUUCCACU